AGCGAACGCUGGCGGCAGGCUUAACACAUGCAAGUCGAGCGGGCCUUUCGGGGUCAGCGGCAGACGGGUGAGUAACGCGUGGGAACGUACCUUCUGGUCUGGAAUAACCCUGGGAAACUAGGGCUAAUACCGGAUACGCCCUUUUGGGGAAAGGUUUACUGCCGGAAGAUCGGCCCGAGUCUGAUUAGCUAGUUGGUGGGGUAACGGCCUACCAAGGCGACGAUCAGUAGCUGGUCUGAGAGGAUGAUCAGCCACACUGGGACUGAGACACGGCCCAGACUCCUACGGGAGGCAGCAGUGGGGAAUAUUGGACAAUGGGCGCAAGCCUGAUCCAGCCAUGCCGCGUGAGUGAUGAAGGCCUUAGGGUUGUAAAGCUCUUUUAUCCGGGACGAUAAUGACGGUACCGGAGGAAUAAGCCCCGGCUAACUUCGUGCCAGCAGCCGCCGUAA
rnacentral:rRNA from 1 species